rnacentral:rRNA from 1 species
AUGAGGAAAAAGAAAUGGCCAGGGAACCCCUGUUGCUCCUUUUGCAAACAGGUUGAAACGGUGCAACACCUAUUUUUCAAUUGUCCUGUGGCUAGAAUUGUAUGGCGAUCGACUGGAGUUGCUCUUGGUACUGAUAGAUGUCCGUCGAAUUACUGGCAGUACUUUGUGUGGUGCAACAAAUUCCUUCCUGGGAAACAAAAGUUUUACACAGUAGGUCUGGCGGCUGUAUGUUGGGCGAUUUGGUUGGCGCGCAACCGAGCUACCUUUGAAAAACAAAUCAAGACUCCUUUUGAGAUUGUGUUUUCUCUGUGUUCCUUUCUACUUUACUGGACAGGGCUACAUCAAGGGGAGGACGCCAAAGAUCUUCGUUCCGGAGCCGAGAUGAUCAGGACUGGCACGACAAAGCUGAUGAAGGUGUGUGGCGCUGUCAAGCAACCAAUCCAGGGCGCUUGA